rnacentral:rRNA from 1 species
UGGGGAAUUUUGGACAAUGGGCGAAAGCCUGAUCCAGCAAUGCCGCGUGUGUGAAGAAGGCCUUCGGGUUGUAAAGCACUUUUGUCCGGAAAGAAAUCCUUGGCUCUAAUACAGUCGGGGGAUGACGGUACCGGAAGAAUAAGCACCGGCUAACUACGUGCCAGCAGCCGCGGUAAUACGUAGGGUGCAAGCGUUAAUCGGAAUUACUGGGCGUAAAGCGUGCGCAGGCGGUUUGCUAAGACCGAUGUGAAAUCCCCGGGCUCAACCUGGGAACUGCAUUGGUGACUGGCAGGCUAGAGUAUGGCAGAGGGGGGUAGAAUUCCACGUGUAGCAGUGAAAUGCGUAGAGAUGUGGAGGAAUACCGAUGGCGAAGGCAGCCCCCUGGGCCAAUACUGACGCUCAUGCACGAAAGCGUGGGGAGCAAACAGGAUUAGAUACCCUGGUAGUCCACGCCCUAAAACGAUGUCAACUAGUUGUUGGGGAUUCAUUUCCUAGUAACGUAGCUAACGCGUGAAGUUGACCGCCUGGGGAGUACGGUCGCAAGAUUAAAACUCAAAGGAAUUGACGGGGUC